rnacentral:rRNA from 1 species
UACGUAGGGGGCAAGCGUUGUCCGGAUUUAUUGGGCGUAAAGAGCGUGUAGGCGGCCAUGUAGGUCCGUUGUGAAAACUCGAGGCUCAACCUCGAGACGCCGAUGGAAACCGUAUGGCUAGAGUCCGGAAGAGGAGAGUGGAAUUCCCGGUGUAGCGGUGAAAUGCGCAGAUAUCGGGAAGAACACCCGUGGCGAAGGCGGCUCUCUGGGACGGUACUGACGCUGAGACGCGAAAGCGUGGGGAGCGAACAGG